GAUGCGGAAGCUAAAUCAUAAAUAAAUCUGAAAAGAUGGGGAAUACCCAUAUACUAUAGCUGAAUAUAUCAAAUCUGAGAGUUUAAUACAAAAGAAAUAUCAAACUCAAGAUACUAAGCUGAAUCUAACUAUGUCUGAAAUAAGCCUCUAAACUGACUAGAAAUGUUGGGACAUGCCCCAACUAGAUCUAGCAAAACUGAAACUGAAGACUAAAAGCGAUAAAGAUAAACAUGUCACUAGUCCUCGAAGAAUGAGGACUCACCACUGAUGCUGCUGAACUGAAGAUCGGGAAUCGAUCUAAGCGUGAUCUGGAUGCUGAGAACCUGAACCU
rnacentral:lncRNA from 1 species